rnacentral:lncRNA from 1 species
ACACAAUAAAAAGAGCUUAAAUCAAUGUAGACAUUGUAUCUAUUAUAUAAAUGCAGUUUAUGAAAGAAACAUAGUAAGUAACUCAGGGUUUGUUAUCUGGCAGCAAUUGCAGGAGUAACAAGAGAUGGCCACGGAGGGAGUGAGAAGUCGGCGAACACAGAGGAGGAAGAGAAGCACCAGUGCUGCAAGAGCAUCAACAACUGCUCCACUUCCAUGAAGUGGGCACUCUAAACUGCAAUUUAGCUUGUACCAUUCUGCAAACAUGUACACCUGAAAACAAAGAUGAUAUGAUAUCAAUUAAAAAAAUAAGCAAGUUUAGAUUAUCAUUCUUUUAAAUUUUAGAGAACACACAAAACAAAUGAGGUCCCUAAGCACACUCAUAUAAAGAAGUACAUUAUAGGAUAACAUAAUACUCCCUCAGUUUGACUUACGGUUAAAUUGACCAUUUUCAAAUCAAUAUAUCUUAUUAUUCUUUUAUAUAUAUGUAAAUAGUCUAUAAACAUUAUAAACUACAUACAAUUUAGUAUUAAUCACAAUGUUUGCUUUUUUGAAAAUCUAAAUAUAUAUGUUUCGUUAAUUAUAAAAAUGGUCAAUUUGACCAUAAAAGUGAAUGGAUGACUUUUAUCUUGGGACGGAAGGAGUAAUAAUAUUAAAAUAUUUUCUAAACGUACUCAUGUUGUCCACAUAAGAAUACCAAAUUAUGAAGAGUUUGAAUACUCAUAAUUGUCAAAAACUCGACUCGCAGCUACUAAUGUUGAAUUAGAUUAUGACUGAAAAUGAAGGUUUCUACUUUUAAGAAAAAAAUGUACUCCAUUUUUCAAAAAAAGAUUGCCAUAAGUGAACAGGCUCUGCUCUGACAAUAUUAAAAAUAGAAUACACAGCAAGUACAUUGUUUCACAGUUCACACACAAAUGCAAAUACUGAGUACUCUUUAGAUGGGUAGUGAUAUAUGUCUAUCAACAUGUUUGAUUAUCAUCAGUAGGAAAUAUGCAAUUGACAUUCUCACAGGUCCAUAGUUCUAAUGCAAGGACAAAAUUUCCCAUCUCUCCCACCACAGUUGUAGGCGAGCAACUAAGCAUAUCAAUUAUAUUGCAAAUUUAAAUCUUCAUUGUCAUUACUUGCCUUUUAAACUUAAUUAAAAGAGAGAAUAUCAUGCAAAGAAAAUUUAGAAACACUUAACUCUUUGAUUGGCAUAUUCAAUUUCAAAACAAACCACAAAUGAGGGAAAGUUUCAAGCAAUUAAUCCACAAAUAAAAUCGUACUAAUAAUAUAGUUGGUUAAAAAGAGCAUUUGAAAAAUCAUGUCAAAAGAAUCUAAUUUGUUAGCUUAAAAUUUACCAGUCAUCACCACAUCAUCAUCAUCAUCAUCAUCAUCAAGUCAUCCCAUCCUCCUCCUCACAUCUCUCUACUUGUAGUUUUCCGAGCAAUAAUUCAAAAGGGAAACAGGUAGAUAUAGCAAAUAUACCCUGGUGCAACUUGCAGUUUUCCUCAUUGACAUAGCAAAUAUACAAUACAUAUGUCUGAUCAAUAAUACAUAUGUGUGUUUGUGCGUGUAGAAAAAGAUAAAUAAACAUACAAAUUAUGCAACUUAGGAUCAACAAAAGUAGGGGAAGGGGUGUAUAUGCUACUGCUUCUUUUUUUAUUUUUGCAAAUUUCUGCUUAUCUUUGUUACAUGCAUCAUUGAGAAAAAUAAAAUAAAAUAUUUAAUUAUAAUAUGAUCAUUAUCAUAUAUGUCUUCCUUUACGUGAAGGAAGCAUUAGCAUCAAGAAAAGAUAAUAUGAUGGGGAACAUUGCCUGAAACAUGCAGUUCGUACCCCUUGCUUCUCUGAUGCAGUAGUUUUGUCAAUUUUGAGAUAUCGUGUAGAACAUUAUUACCUACCAUAAAGUUAGUGCCAGAGUUACCAGAACAUUACUCAAGUAUCUUCUAUGAAAUUUAGUUUGAUUGAAUUUAAAUUCUAAGAAAAUUCCUAAUUAUAAGCAAUUAUUAUAUAAAGUUCUCAUUAUGUAUCACGUUUUAGGCAAUGGAGAGAGUACCUUGUACCCAUUUCAAUUCUACGUGCAAUGAACUGACUACAAACUGUAAUUAAUACGACUUGACAAACAAAAUCUCUCUUUUUCCCUUUGGCGGGUACGGGGGACUUUGUUUAGAAACCAAAUUCUACCCUUUCUUGAAUUUUAUUUAUUUAUUGGUUUGAACGGUAAAGAGUAUUUUUGGGCCAAUUUACAUGUCAACGAAAAUCAUACUUUCCACAUAAGCCUGAUGCAGUCGGGAGAAUUCUCCAAGGUGCUGAACCUAAGGUACAAACUUAGAGUCAUGGAAAGGAACAAACCUCAUUAACCACCAGUAAUUCCUAUGACUUUCCAAGCAAUGCUUUUCUGUUUCUCUGCUACAGAUAAUUUGGCAGCAUCCACUCCUGCAAAAUUGCCAUUGAAAACACAGAUUUAUACAGCAAAACUUGGGUCAUAACUGUGCAAAUUGCGAGCAAAAGAACAGAAUUGUAAAACUUGAUUGUGAGAAAACAACAAAUAGCAAUAAACAAUUAAAAUAAUUACAUGAAAUUCAGUGAAACUUUGAAUACAUGAAAUUUAUUAAAGCUAAGAAAAUAAUGGGUUGAUUUAGAUCCCAAAAUAUUCAGAAAUCAAAUUAAACAAAUAUGGAAAUAGCCGUGGUUACUGACCAUAUUUAGUUUGAUUGAAUUUAAAUUCUAAGAAAAUUCCUAAUUAUAAGCAAUUAUUAUAUAAAGUUCCCAUUACGUAUCACGUUUUAGGCAAUGGAGAGAGUACCUUGUACCCAUUUCAAUUCUACGUGCUAUGAACCGACUACAAACUGUAAUUAGUAUGACUUGACAAAUAAAAUCUCUCUUUUUCCCUUUGGCGGGUACGGGGGACUUUGUUUAGAAACCAUAUUCUACCCUUUCUUGAAUUUUAUUUAUUUAUUGGUUUGAACGGUAAAGAGUAUUUUUGGGCCAAUUUACAUGUCAACGGAGAUCACACUUUCCACAUCAGCCUGAUGCAGUCGGGAGAAUUCUCCAAGAUGCUGAUCCUAAGGUACAAAUUAUAGUCAAGGAAAGGAACAAACCUCCUUAACCACCAGUAAUUCCUAUGACUUUCCAAGCAAUGCUUUUUUGUUUCUCUGCUACAGAUAAUUUGGCAGCAUCCACUCUUGCAAAAUUGCCAUUGAAAACACAGAUUUAUACAGCAAAACUUGGGUCAUAACUGUGCAAAUUGCGAGCAAAAGAAUAGAAUUGUAAAACUUGAUUGUGAGAAAACAACAAAUAUCAAUAAACAAUUAAAACAAAUAUGGAAACAGCGGUGGUUACUGACCAUAUUUCACGGUAAGAGAGAAAUUAAGACAACCGUACAAAGUAAACGCUUAGAAUCCAAGCAAUAAAUUGAGUUCGAAACCCUAUAUGCUUAGAAAUCGAAGGGGAAGAGGAUGAUACGGAUAUCCUAGAAGUCCGAUCUGUAAGCUUCAACAAUUGAGAGAGAUAUAUAGAGAGAGAUGAUGAUGGUGUGACAGGCAAACCCAGACCAAACCCGAAGCCCUUUACUUCUUAGGAGGUAUAUUGAAGAAAUCGAAGGAGGGAGAAGGGAGGGAGUACUCAAAUGAGAGGGGAAAGGAAAGAGGGAAAUCGAAGGAGGUAUAUUGCCCUUUACUUUGUUAAGCUUGGUUUGUUAUUUUUUGAAGGGUUAGAUUUAUCCCAACUUUGGACGGUUCAGAUCUUUUAAUAGGUUGAUUCACCAAGAAAAAUUCACCUUGUCAGUUAAUUCACCAAGAAAAAUUUUAAUCAACCAUGCAAACAAAUGAUAGUCAAAACAUUAAAUUUUGUCACAUACUUAACAUUUUGAACACACAAAUGUUUCAAACAGAGUUUCGUUCAAAUAGUAAAAUGAAAUUUUUAUAUCUAGAGUAUACAACAAAAGUAUGACACAAAAACAUCACUAUCACUUGAUUAAGCUCCAAAGAAA